rnacentral:rRNA from 1 species
GAUAAACGUUUGCGGCGUGCCUGAUGCAUGCAAGUCGAACGCCCUGAUUUUUCGCAAGAAGUAUCAGGGAGUGGCGAACGGCUGAGUAACGCGUAAGUAACCUACCCUUGAGUGGGGGAUAACUUGCCGAAAGGCAGGCUAAUACCGCAUAUGCUGGUAAACGCCAGUUUAUCAGUAAAGCUUUUGCGCUCGGGGAGGGGCUUGCGUCUGAUUAGAUAGUUGGCAGGGUAAUGGCCUACCAAGUCGAUGAUCAGUAGCUGGUCUGAGAGGACAACCAGCCAGACGGGGACUGAGACACGGCCCUGACUCCUACGGGAGGCUG